ACACGACUACAUUAGAUACCCGUGUAGUCCCAGCCCUAAACGAUGCGCGUUAGGUGUAUCGGUGACCACGAGUCACCGAGGUGCCGAAGGGAAACCGUGAAACGUGCCGCCUGGGAAGUACGGUCGCAAGGCUGAAACUUAAAGGAAUUGGCGGGGGAGCACCACAACGGGUGGAGCCUACGGUUUAAUUGGACUCAACGCCGGGAAGCUCACCGGAUAAGACAGCGGAAUGAUUGCCGGGCUGAAGACCCUGCAUGACCAGCUG
rnacentral:rRNA from 1 species